ACACACACACAUAUGUAUAUGUAUAUGUAUAUGUAUAUGUAUAUGUAUAUGUAUAUGUAUGUGUGUAUGU